CAAUAGUUUUGUUUCAUUGGUCGUAUAAACUUUCACUUUGCGAAUAUGUAGUACAUAGUCAAUCACCCUAUAGUUGUCUAACCGCGAGCAAAGGCUGGGGAAUAACAUCUAACUAUGUAAUAGAAGUUCAGUUUAUUGAAAUUAGUGUUACACCCGUUUUCAAAAUUACGCGACCAGCACAACGGAAUAGCUAUACAAUGUUGACAUGUCAGUUUUGUGUUACGCGCUAAAACUAGCAAACGUAAACAAAAGGCAAACAAAAUUUCCAGUGUAAAUUUUCCAAGAAUCGACUCCGAUUUUAACUAUUCUUGAGAUAAGGAGCUUCAACAUGUCGGAGCUCGUAGGUGUUGACAGUAAGUCGACGAACGAUGUUCAUAUUUGAAAUUUUGUCAACAUCGAACUGAUCGAAAUAACCAAAAGCACGCGCGUUACCGAUAAUAAAUUCACUCUGACAGCAGAAUUUGUGCUGAAUGCAAACUAAAUCCGUUCUCAGAGUGGUAUUGUACAUAUCUAUUUAAUUAGUUUGUAUUCACAUUAGAAAGGUUGAACCAGGCAUGUCAAAAUCUACUUUUCUGCCAUUUUCGCAAAAAAAGUUGUUCGCUUCUGGCUACAGUACUACAUCAUCACACGUCGAUCAGCGCGCGCACUUUCACUUGCUGACAAUAACUUUCAAUUUGCAAUAAUUAUCACUAAAAUAUUUUUAAAAUCCUUGUAAACUUUUUCAUAUAAACCAUGCAAAACAUAUACUUUAAUUGACAACGAACCGCAAAACUCAAAGUUGUAAACAUUCGUGACCGCAUGACAUAAGACUGACAUUUGCACUAUAAGAAAAUUUCGGGCAGGCGCGUAAUUUGGAAAUGGUGUAAAUUGGAUUUCUUUUCGAAAAGCAACCUCAGCCCCGUGUUAGCGGAUAAUCUUAUAUGUCGCAUGUAUAAAUAGACCACGAUUCAUCAAGAUUGACGUGUCGUCGCUACUGUUGUGAAGUCCAUUGUCUAGUCCAUGGCUUCUUAUUCUUAAGUUGUAAAUUAUACAGACAGUAGUGCGACCACCCAUAAGCUCCUCAAAUAAUUUCCAAGACAUUUUCAGAUUAAGCUUACUCUUUCGAACACGGAAACGGGGGGAAAAACACUGAUCUAUCAGUGGGAAAAAGAGUCCACCUUGUCACCAGCCUGUUCUAAGGUACACCACAGAAUAAGCACAUACAGAAGUCCGAAUUCUUGUCGCCGCCUUUGAUGUUAGCGUAACCGCCACCACGCCAUGAUUCCCAAUCGCGUCCUAGUCAUUGCGCUAAGAAAGAGGCCGUCACCCCCCUGAAAACAUUAAAAAUGACCGGCUUGGCUUAGGCGUUCAGGGGGGUGAGUACCUCUCGUAAGCGCACUGGCUAGGAACACGGCGUCGUGUACGAUACUCAUUCUGGUGUGUGAAGUUUCUUCUGACGACACCAAUUAGCCAUUUCCCAAAGUCCUUGGUCUAGUCGCGCGAAUCCCUUGUUUUGGAGGGGACAAGAAAUGUGGCAGCACACAUUUAAAUUAAAAGUUUAAUGUAAAAAGGAGGUAUUGGUCGUGUAAAAAGUUGAUAUUUGAUAGUAGAUACUUCUACUCUUUCACAUACAGUAUUUGACGCCUGUCUCCAUAUAUUUGACCCUCCAAACGAUCCCAGAAUGCACUGUGAUCUCUUUUGGGAAAAACCUAAUUUGUCCUUCGUUUAGUUUACGGCGAAAUUUGAAUUGCAACCAUUUUACGCGUGCUUAUUCGACGACGUAUGCCAGAAUACGUAUCUUACACGCAAAGUUGAAGUCGAGUCAAUUUUUCCAGCAUAUCGCCGAUCGCACUCGGUUGCGUGUUUUCACACGCGUGUCCCUCGCAGUAGCGAUCGAAAACAAACUUGCUAAGGUGCAUACCAAUUCCUUCCGCGUUCGAGAGGUUAACGUAAUUAUGGUCUUGGAAAAUGUUUACAUAUCAUUAUUUUAAAAACCGCGACACCUGGCUAGAUUAGUGAAUGUAUAGCAGCAAUUUAUUCAUUCUCUGUAAAUUUGAGCAAAAAUUAUAACUAAUAAAGUAAUACCCACUG